rnacentral:pre_miRNA from 1 species
AUAAGUUUGCACCGCCACGAGUGUUCGCUGAUAUAUAUAUAUAUAUAUAUAUAUAUCAGCGAACACUCGUGGCGGUGCAAACUUAUACU